UACGUAGGAGGCGAGCGUUGUCCGGAGUUACUGGGCGUAAAGGGUGCGUAGGCGGCCGCGCGCGUGGCGGGGGAAAUCUCCCGGCUUACCCGGGAGGGGGCUUGCCAGACGGCGCGGCUUGAGGGACGGAGAGGGGCGUGGAAUUCCCGGUGUAGCGGUGAAAUGCGCAGAUAUCAGGAGGAAUACCAGCGGCGAAGGCGGCGCUCUGGGCCGGUACUGACGCUGAGGAGCGAAAGCGUGGGUAGCAAACAGG
rnacentral:rRNA from 1 species